GAGCUGUAAUAUCACACAUGAAGGUUGUGUUGCUCUGACUUCAGCUCUGAGAUCAAACCCAUCACACCUGACACAUCUGGAUCUGUCUCAGAAUUAUAAACUCACAGAUUCAGGAGUGAAGCUGAUCUCUGAUGUACUGAAGAAUCCUGACUGUAAACUGGAGAUACUGAAGUUGAGUAGUUGUGAUAUCACAGAUGAAGGUUGUGUUGAUCUGACUUCAGCUCUGAGAUCAAACCCAUCACACCUGAGAUAUCUGGAUCUGUCUGAUAAUAAACUAAGAGAUUCAGGAGUGAAGCUGAUCUCUGAUGUACUGAAGAAUCCUGACUGUAAACUGGAGAUACUGGAGUUGAAUGAGUGUAAUAUCACAGAUGAAGGUUGUGUUGCUCUGACUUCAGCUCUGAGAUCAAACCCAUCACACCUGAGAUAUCUGGAUCUGUCUGGGAAUAAUCUUACAUAUUCAGGAGUGAAGCUGAUCUCUGAUCUAAAAGAUGAUCCACAUUAUAAACUACAGA